rnacentral:rRNA from 1 species
ACUCCUACGGGAGGCAGCAGUGGGGAAUAUUGCACGAAUCGGGCGCAAGCCUGAUGCAGCCAUGCCGCGUGUGUGAAGAAGGCCCUUCGGGUUGAUAAAGCACUUUCAGUGCGAUGAGGAAGGUAGUGUAGUUAAUAGCUGCACUUAUUUGACGUUAGCGACAGAAGAAGCACCGGCUAACUCCGUGCCAGCAGCCGCGGUAAUACGGAGGGUGCGAGCAGUUAAGUCGGAAUU